rnacentral:rRNA from 1 species
UACAGAGGUCUCAAGCGUUGUUCGGAUUCAUUGGGCGUAAAGGGUGCGUAGGUGGCAUGGUAAGUCGGAUGUGAAAUCCCGGGGCUCAACCCCGGAACUGCAUUCGAUACUGCUGCGCUAGAGUACUGGAGAGGAGAUUGGAAUUUACGGUGUAGCAGUGAAAUGCGUAGAUAUCGUAAGGAAGACCAGUGGCGAAGGCGACGCCCUGGCUCGUACCUGACGCUCAGCCACGAAAGGCAUGGGGAGCGAACGGG